rnacentral:rRNA from 1 species
UNUGACUUGAGUGCAGAAGGGGAGAGUGGAAUUCCAUGUGUAGCGGUGAAAUGCGUAGAUAUAUGGAGGAACACCAGUGGCGAAAGCGGCUCUCUGGUCUGUCACUGACGCUGAGGCUCGAAAGCGUGGGUAGCGAACAGGAUUAGAUACCCUGGUAGUCCACGCCGUAAACGAUGAGUGCUAGGUGUUAGGCCCUUUCCGGGGCUUAGUGCCGGAGCUAACGCAAUAAGCACUCCGCCUGGGGAGUACGACCGCAAGGUUGAAACUCAAAGGAAUUGACGGGGGCCCGCACAAGCGGUGGAGCAUGUGGUUUAAUUCGAAGCAACGCGAAGAACCUUACCAGAUCUUGACAUCCCGAUGCUAUUCUUAGAGAUAGGAAGUUACUUCGGUACAUCGGAGACAGGUGGUGCAUGGUUGUCGUCAGCUCGUGUCGUGAGAUGUUGGGUUAAGUCCCGCAACGAGCGCAACCCUUAUUGUUAGUUGCCAUCAUUAAGUUGGGCACUCUAGCGAGACUGCCGGUAAUAAACCGGAGGAAGGUGGGGAUGACGUCAAAUCAUCAUGCCCCUUAUGACCUGGGCUACACACGUGCUACAAUGGUCGGUACAACGAGUUGCGAGCCGGUGACGGCAAGCUAAUCACUGAAAGCCGAUCUCAGUUCGGAUUGGAGGCUGCAACUCGCCUCCAUGAAGUCGGAAUCGCUAGUAAUCGCGGAUCAGCACGCCGCGGUGAAUACGUUCCCGGGCCUUGUACACACCGCCCGUCACACCACGAGAGUUUGUAACACCCGAAGUCGGUGAGGUAACCUUUUAGG